rnacentral:rRNA from 1 species
CACCGCCCGUCACACCAUGGGAAUUGGAUCUACCCGAAGGAGGUGCGCCAACCUGGCAACAGGAGGCAGCCAACCACGGUAGGUUCAGUGACUGGGGUG